rnacentral:rRNA from 1 species
ACUCCUACGGGAGGCAGCAGUGGGGAAUUUUGGACAAUGGGGGCAACCCUGAUCCAGCCAUCCCGCGUGUGCGAUGAAGGCCUUCGGGUUGUAAAGCACUUUUGGCAGGAAAGAAACGGCGCCGGCUAAUACCUGGCGUAACUGACGGUACCUGCAGAAUAAGCACCGGCUAACUACGUGCCAGCAGCCGCGGUAAUACGUAGGGUGCAAGCGUUAAUCGGAAUUACUGGGCGUAAAGCGUGCGCAGGCGGUUCGGAAAGAAAGAUGUGAAAUCCCAGGGCUUAACCUUGGAACUGCAUUUUUAACUACCGGGCUAGAGUGUGUCAGAGGGGGGUGGAAUUCCACGUGUAGCAGUGAAAUGCGUAGAUAUGUGGAGGAACACCGAUGGCGAAGGCAGCCCCCUGGGAUAACACUGACGCUCAUGCACGAAAGCGUGGGGAGCAAACAGGAUUAGAUACCCUGGUAGUCCACGCCCUAAACGAUGUCAACUAGCUGUUGGGGCCUUCGGGCCUUGGUAGCGCAGCUAACGCGUGAAGUUGACCGCCUGGGGAGUACGGUCGCAAGAUUAAAACUCAAAGGAAUUGACG